CCAACAUACAUAUCCCACGUAAAAACAUCCCACUCCCACAAACUCUCUAGUUGACAAACAAGUAUACUUUGCAGAAGCCACUUCUCACCACCAAUCCUCUCGUCAAACUCCUAGUGUAGCUCUUGGUCUCUAAGAACCGUUAAGCCCCGAUCGUGCGAUUAACCGUAGAGAAAUCUAGAGUCAAAAUCAUUAUAAGGAAAGCGUCUCAGGUACUCAAGGAGAAAGACAUGUUUGAAUGUGAUGCUUGAAGCGCGUACGUACGGGGAAGAUUGGGUUUUGUAAAUUUGAGAAUUUUUAUGUAAUAAAUAAUUUGCUGUUGUAUUUUCUCCCGCUGGAAUUUUCAAACUAUUGUUCAUUUUAAUUAAGUUUAUAUUUCAAUAAAUUUGAUUUCAAUCUCUUUUGUAA